UACGUAGGGUCCGAGCGUUGUCCGGAAUUACUGGGCGUAAAGAGCUCGUAGGCGGUCUGUCGCGUCGGCUGUGAAAUCUCGGGGCUCAACCCCGAGCCUGCAGUCGAUACGGGCAGACUAGAGUGCUGUAGGGGAGACUGGAAUUCCUGGUGUAGCGGUGAAAUGCGCAGAUAUCAGGAGGAACACCGGUGGCGAAGGCGGGUCUCUGGGCAAUUCCUGACGCUGAGGCGCGAAAGCGUGGGGAGCAAACGGG
rnacentral:rRNA from 1 species